rnacentral:pre_miRNA from 1 species
CUUGUACUCCCUCCGUCCGAAAAUACUUGUCAUUCAAAUGGAUGUAUCUAGAUGUAUUUUAGUUCUAGACACAUCCAUUUUGAUGACAAGUAAUUCCGGACGGAGGGGGUACUUG